rnacentral:lncRNA from 1 species
AUGGCUUUCGUGCGAAUUAAAAGGCGACGGGAUGAAAACCCUGCGGAAGCUCUUCUCAUCGCUACUAAAAGACUAAAGACUUCAAAAGAAGAAGACAAAGCAUCAAUUUUUGAAUUCACGGCCACCCUGGACUGUGAUGAAGAAGAGGUCAUAUCUUAUUUGAACAAAGCUCGCAAAUUAGAGUCUGUCAAAUCGAGUUUCAAGAAGAGAAGUAAACCCAACGUAACUGAGGAUUUUAUCAAAGAACAUGAAACGAAAGUAAAAGACAACAGACUUCAGGUUAUCAAUUGUUUUCGAGCUUUACAGGAUAAUAAGAACGAAAAACCUGUAACAGUGGUAGAUGUUGUAUCAGACUCAUCUAAAGAGACUGAAAACACUAAUUAUGUGUAUGAUAUUUAUCAACAAACGAACAAUGAAGAUGUUGAUGAUAUGCUAAUGGAACGAAUGUACAGUGUUUUUGCAAUAGACUUAUGUGGAGGAGAGAAUGAUGAUGAGGAUGGCUCGGAGGAAUUUUUCGACUGUUCUGAUGACUCAAAUGACGAGAAUAACUGGCGAAACGACUACCCAGAUGAGGAAUCAACUUCAUCUGAAGCCAGUAGUGAUGGUUAUAAAGAAGAGCAUAGUAUUAAUGAAGAGGAUAUGGUUCGAGCCAUGAAUAACAUGGAUUUUUACGACUUAUCAUCAGAUGAUGAAGAAGAAAAAGAAUCUACUUCUGAUUAUUGUGAUACAACCUCUGAUCAUUCAAAUUUAUCGCUGGAAGAAUUUGACGAUCCAGUUGGUUCUGAUGACUUUUAAUUUUGAUUAAUUCAAGAUCAGAAUUCCAUUGUGCAUAUUGAUAAGCCCUCUUAAGCCAUGUUAAAUUGUGUUCUCACAGUUCAUUAGAUAGCUAUUUUUUUCUUCUUUUUUUCAAGUAAAUUUAAGAGAAAUAUAAAAUUAUUCAUAAGAGGAAGAGGUACAAAUGCUUUCGGUCUUCUUCACAGACCAGUGAGGUAUUCCUCCAAAAAAGAAUAACAGAACCAGGCAGAAUGCCAAUCACAGGUUUCUUUAUCACUUAACAUCAUAAGGUGCGAUAAUUUUUGCACUUAGUUAUGUCAUGGUAAUAAUCUUUACAUAUUCUGGAUAAAUACUCUGUCUGGCAGACAUGAGAUCCAUUGUAGUCAGUAAAAUGUGAAGCCAACUUUAUGUUAAAAUAAAUAACUCUACAACUCAUUGCUGAGUAAUUUAAAAAUUUCACACCGUCAUCAGUUUCAUUUUUUAAUUCGGAAAUCAGGCUGAGAAUCAGAAAUAAUUUUAUGGGAACAAUCACCUGCUUGUUUUCUAAAAACUUUAAGUUUUGGAAAUCAUCAUCAAUUUUAGGACAAUAAUUUGGCAUUCACCGUCGCAGUCUACCGCUAUCAUUUGCUUUUCUCAGUUUAGUCUACACUGCGUGGGCUCUUAUCUAUUCCUUCAUGGGGAAUAGAAUGUGAAAGCUCUGAAACAGAAUAUUGUUUUAAUUUCUCAAAAAUUGCCCCAGUUUCAGUUUCCCUCCCCUCCAUAUUUCUCACCAGUUUCUGCAUGAUUCUCCAACAUUCUCUACUCGAGUAUUUUACUGAUCCAUGGCAGCAGUUUCACAACAACUUGAUAAGCAAAAAUGGUCAAAUUGUCGGUAUAAUAUUGUAAAUGACUCAUACUGAUCAAAGAAAGCUAACAAAUGAGGUUUUCUUAGUACUUCAGUUUCAUUGAUAAUCCAUUAAAAGACUCCUUAAAAUGCAUUUGGUCAAAAACCCAAAGAUUAUCAGUCAUGCUUUCUUUAAAUUCUGCGAAAAGCUAAAAGUACAAGGGGCCAAGUCAAGAUUGUAUUACAGGUAAGAGAUGAGUGUGGACCCUUUUACUGCUAUGCAAAGGAAAAACGCUGUAUGAACAUUCAAGAGUUGCCAUAUUUUCUCCGAUAAAAUGUUUAUUACAUGGGGAGUCAUGAAUAUUUUUUUAAAAAAUUUUCUGAUAGUUCAUACCUGAUUGCGAAUAAAAUAGGGGGGGGGGAGGAUAUUCACAGGCUUCCCUGAUUAUUUUUAUUUUAUUUAGAGGUUUGGCAACACCUGAAGGCUCAUACAGCGUUCUUCUUUAGCAUGGCAGUUUACCUCCAUCAGCUCUCCAUCAAGGAUGUGCAGGAUAAUUAGGACCCUUUUACGCAUUCAGGAUCAUCGUAAAUGCACUGAAAUUCUUUAGUUAUCAUUUUGUUUAAUAACACCAUUCACAAUCAUUAGCAAGCAUGACACAUUUUGCUACCUAUCUAAAUCAAGAAUUCUGUUGCUCUAUUCUAAAUUUUCCAUUUUCCUUGCUGACAAAAUGUCAACAAGAAAACCAAAGCAUGCAGAUUCCAAAAUUUUCAGGAAGACUGCUUCAUACUUUUUUGUACUCAAUGAAUAGAAGAUAAAGCCUGAAGUGAUCAGGUUUCUUUGCAAUGGGGUAUUUUGCUUGGAAAAGGAAAGUAUGAUUUGGAUCAGAUUUACAGCUUUUUUUGCGGAUGAUAGCAUUCGCUGUGAGUUAACAACGUUACUCAGCACCCCUUUGCCUUAUCUAAAGUCACCUCUUAUUUGAAAUCUCACCUGCAAAUUAGUUCUGCUCAGAGAUAAACAUGAAUAUUAUGUUCGUUAUAUGACAGUUAAAAAUUAUCCAUUUAAAAAUUUUUAAUCUGAAAACCUUAAUAUUGACUUCUUCCAAGAAAGGAGUCUCCCUCGAACUUUACCUGAACCAAAGUUUGUUUUCUUUCUUUCUUUGUCUAUAAAAGAGUCAGUUUGAUCUGUUUUAGAAUAAAUAAUUUAAAUGCGCCUGUUGCAAACUUCAGCUAGAGUUGCGAAAAGUUGUUUCUCAUUGAAUAUGGCUCAAAAAUCACGAUGAACGCUUUGGGAAAGUCUGAAAUACACUUCUAACUUCACAAUCUGCAUGAUGAGGAAUAUGCAUUUUUUAAGCUUCCCGUUUCAAAAACGAUACUACAACACAGGUGAACAUUUCGCAAGAUGAGUCGCUCCAUCUAACCCUUGCUCACAUCACAAAAAUGCUUCGCAGUACUCAACAUGGCUGACGCUUCAGCACGCAAAUCAUGAGGAAGCAGCAUGGAUCUUUAUCAGCAAGGAAAAUGUAAAUAUAAAUAUGCGAAUUGAUCAAUUCCCGUCUCAACAAGUGUGUUUUGGCAGAUUGGCGUCGACCAUGUCUAAUAUCAAGUGGCAUCUUAGCGCACAAGGGUUAGAGGGAACGACUCCUCUCAUGAAAUGUUCACCUGUGCCAUGGUAUCGUUUUUGAAACGGCUUAAAAAACGCACAUUUCUUAUUCAGAUUGUGAAGUUAGGAGUGUAUUUCUGACUUUCCUAUUGCAUUCAUAGUGAUUUUAAGCCAUUUUCUGUAAGACACUACUCUCCUCUUUGCUCUAGCUGAUGUUCACAACAGGCCCAUUCAAUUCAUAGAAAUCCUCUUGGAAGACCAGGCAUUCAUCAACACGUGAAAUAUGGUCAAAUUAGUUUUAUUUCACACUGUUAAAUAUUUUCUUUCAAGUAUGUAGUGUAAUCAUUCUUUCUUUAGAAUUAUGUACCAUUCAAUUUUACAUUGUUUUUAUUUUAAAUUGCUAGUUUUUAAAUACUAAUUUGUCUUCAGCUGUAACCAAUAAAAAGUAUAAAAUUUUUAAAUGUUACUAAAUGAAAUUCAGGUUCGUUUUUUUUUUUUUUUUUUUUGCUUCUCUAUCUUCCUCUCACAUGAAAAUUUGAACAUCUUUAUUGCAGGUUAAAUUUUUCUGACUGGAUUCCUUGGUAAAUUCACGGUUCUUCUAAAUAUGUUGUCCUUGGUAUGCAUGAAACAAAAUGAGUUGCCAUUACGUUCACUGUUUCAGUCACUACAAUGAUGUAUUAAAAAUUUGAAACUUUAAGAAGGAUCCUACACAGAAAACCAAGGUAUUCACCAUUGACUAAUUUUCGUACUUCCUUGAUAAUAUGUUCUUCACGACCUCCUGAGCAUGAUGAGCUUUUCAAAUUGAAGUUCCUAAGCCAAAAUCAAGGAGAGCUGUCUGAAAAGUGAAUGUUUCGAUGUAUCCUUCCUGUGCUUUCUUGUGGUAACAUGGCACUGCUCUUUAUCCAAUAUGCAUAGCCAUUUAUUCUAACCCGACCAACACGAUGAAAGAUGGGCAUCUGCCUUAUCUUUCAGCAAACAUGCAGCAAGGAACGAGGAGCUAUCCUUCCUUGCCAACAUUUUUAUUAGAAAAAGUAUAUGAAACUGCUCUAAAGUUGCUUUUGUGCCCCACUUAUCUCAAAAUUAACGCAGAGAGAGCAAGUCUCAAAAGCAUCUAUCAAGAGCAAAUUCAGACCCAUUUCCCAUGUACCCCUUUUAUUAUUUUAAUUUAUUUAUUUGUCAUUUCUCAUUGAUUUUUUAAUUUCAAAUUAUAAUUUUCAAACACAGACUUUAAGCUUAAUUUUAAUGAUUGCAGGAGAAAGCAUUCCACUGGAAACAACAAAAGCAAUCAUUUUCACCACUUAAAAAACAUCACUACUUUAUUUAGACAAGAAUACUGAUUACGAACUAGUACAAAGAUAAAAUAAAAAAAUUACUGACACUUCUUAAUUGUUACAGGAAUUUACAAUCGUUGGGUUUACGUCAGUCAUAUUCAUGAUCAGCACUCGCAAUAGUAAAAUAUAUCAAACUUGAUGUACCUAGUUUCAAACCAGCUGUCACUUUAGAUCUACAAGUCACCAGUUUCCCUGGAUUAAAAAAAAAGAUAGGUGUCAAAGAUGACAUAAUAAUACAUAUAUUCACCCUCUUCAUAUCUAAAGAGUGCAUACACUUCUGAUUCUGCUCCGGGAAACCUGUCUAUCAGUCAGCUUAACCACAAUCCAUUUCAAUAAAGACUAUUCCUCAUUCACGAAACAUCUCACUUGCACCCAACAGUCAUAAAAGUUCCUUCUUUCUUUCUGUUUUAAAAACAGUAAUAAAUGUACCUAAUAAUAAGUGUGAACAUUAAUCAUAAAAUGUGAUAAAAUAAACUGCAUCUUUCAUGAGAAAGGCUGUUGAAAAGGUGAGAAAUCUUAGAAAGUUCUGUGAGAA